AGUAACACGUAUCCAACGUUCCCAUAACUCAGGGAUAGACCUUUCGAAAGAAAGAUUAAUACCUGAUAGUACUUUUUCAAGGCAUCUGAGAAAGUUAAGAUUUAUUGGUAUGGAUGGGGAUGCGUUCCAUUAGAUAGUUGGUGAGGUAACGGCUCACCAAGUCUUCGAUGGAUAGGGGUUCUGAGAGGAAGGUCCCCCACAUUGGUACUGAGACACGGACCAAACUCCUACGGGAGGCAGCAGUGAGGAAUAUUGGUCAAUGGGCGAGAGCCUGAACCAGCCAAGUAGCGUGAAGGAUAGGAAGGUCCUAUGGAUUGUAAACUUCUUUUAUAGUAGAAUAAAGUGAUCCACGUGUGGAUUUUUGUAUGUAUACUAUGAAUAAGGAUCGGCUAACUCCGUGCCAGCCGCAGC
rnacentral:rRNA from 1 species